GGCCUUUUGGGAGCUCACUGGCUUCGGAUUCCGUAGGAACUCUGAAGUUAAGCGAGUUCGCGUGAGAGCAAUCCCAGUAUGGGUGACCCACUAGGAAGUUCUCGUGUGAGUUCCCAGAAAUAAAACCGUGAGAGUGUGGUCGGGGCCCAAAGAGAACAAUAUCGUGCUACGGUGGAGUCGAGCCCGAGAUGUGGUGGGGGCCUAGGCCGAGAUGUGACAAUUUGGUAUCAGAGCCAAUACAUAGCUGGAAGUGUGCCGACGAAGACAUCGGGCCCUAAAAGGGAGGAUUGUAACAUCUCACAUCGCUCAAGGGAGUGGAUCAUCUAAGCCUUAUAUGUGUAUUCCCAUCUUUACCUAGCACGAGGCCUUUUGGGAGCUCACUGGCUUCAGAUUCCGUAUGAACUCCGAAGUUAAGCGAGUUCGCGCAAAAGCAAUCCCAUGAUGGGUGACCCACUGGAAAAUUCUUGUUGGUGGAGCCG
rnacentral:sRNA from 1 species